rnacentral:rRNA from 1 species
UCUAACAUGUUGCGCGAGUCAUUGGGACGAGAAAGCCUAAAGGCGCAAUGAAAGUGAAGGUACGGCCCUAGCGCCGACCGAGGGAGGAUGGGCCGCGUCGCGAUGCGGCUCCGCACUCCCGGGGCGUCUCGCUCUCAUCGCGAGAAGAGGCGCACCCAGAGCGUACACGUUGGGACCCGAAAGAUGGUGAACUAUGCCUGGUCAGGACGAAGUCAGGGGAAACCCUGAUGGAGGUCCG